GACGAACGCUGGCGGCGUGCCUAAUACAUGCAAGUAGGACGCAGUUGCGAACGGGUGAGUAACGCGUAGGUAACUACCUAUUAGAGGGGGAUAACUAUUGGAAACGAUAGCUAAUACCGCAUACUAGUAGCUGGACCUGCGUUGUAUUAGCUAGUAGGUAGGGUAAUGGCCUACCUAGGCAACGAUACAUAGCCGACCUGGGAGGGUGAGCGGCCACACGUGUACUGAGACACGGCCCAGACUCCGACGGGAGGCAGCAGUAGGGAAUCUUCUGAAAUGGGGGGAACCCUGACCGAGCAACGCCGCGUGAGUGAAGAAGGUUGUCGGAUCGUAAAGCUCUGUUGUUAAGGAAGCGGUACUUAACCAGAAAGGGACGGCUAACUACGUGCCAGCCGCCGCGGUAAUAC
rnacentral:rRNA from 1 species